rnacentral:rRNA from 1 species
GACGAACGCUGGCGGCGUGCUUAACACAUGCAAGUCGAACGGUGAACGAGGGAGCUUGCUCCCUCCGGAUCAGUGGCGAACGGGUGAGUAACACGUGAGCAAUCUGCCCCGAACUCUGGGAUAAGCGUUGGAAACGACGUCUAAUACCGGAUACGACGCGGGAGGGCAUCCUCUCCGCGUGGAAAGAACUUCGGUUCGGGAUGAGCUCGCGGCCUAUCAGCUUGUUGGUGAGGUAACGGCUCACCAAGGCGACGACGGGUAGCCGGCCUGAGAGGGUGACCGGCCACACUGGGACUGAGACACGGCCCAGACUCCUACGGGAGGCAGCAGUGGGGAAUAUUGCACAAUGGGCGCAAGCCUGAUGCAGCAACGCCGCGUGAGGGACGACGGCCUUCGGGUUGUAAACCUCUUUUAGCAGGGAAGAAGCGAAAGUGGCGGUACCUGCAGAAAAAGCACCGGCUAACUACGUG